rnacentral:rRNA from 1 species
UACGUAGGAGGCAAGCGUUGUCCGGAAUUACUGGGUGUAAAGCGCGUGUAGGCGGCAGGCCAAGUCUGUGGUGAAAUCGCUCGGCUCAACUGGGCGGGGUCCAUGGAAACUGGUCAGCUGGAGGACGGUAGAGGUGAGUGGAAUUCCCGGUGUAGUGGUGAAAUGCGUAGAGAUCGGGAGGAACACCCGUGGCGAAGGCGGCUCACUGGGCCGGUCCUGACACUGAGGAGCGAAAGCGUGGGGAGCGAACAGG